GACGAACGCUGGCGGCGUGCUUAACACAUGCAAAUCGAACGAAGUGGCGAACGGGUGAGUAACGCGUAAUCAACCUGCCCUUCAGAGGGGGACACCAGUUGGAAACGACUGCUAAUACCACAUACUGAAGGAGGGGAUUGCGUCUGAUUAGCUAGUUGGAGGGGUAACGGCCCACCAAGGCGAUGAUCAGUAGACGGGCUUAGAGGUUGAACGGCCACAUCGGGACUGAGACACGGCCCAGACUCCUUCGGGGGGCAGCAGUGGGGAGUAUUCGGAAAUGGACGAAAGUCUGACGGACCAACUCCGGGGUAGUGAUGAUGGCCUUCGGGUUGUACCGCUCCGUUAAUCGUGAUGCGGUACCUGAACAUAAAGUCACGGCUAACUACGUGCCAGCAGCCGCGGUAAUUC
rnacentral:rRNA from 1 species